rnacentral:rRNA from 1 species
UACGGGGGGGCAAGCGGUUGUUCGGAAUCACUGGGCUUAAAGGGCGCGUAGGCGGGUGCUCAAGUCCGUGGUGAAAUCCUCCGGCUCAACCGGAGAACUGCCUCGGAUACUGGGUGCCUCGAGGGUGGUAGGGGUAUGCGGAACUAUCGGUGGAGCGGUGAAAUGCGUUGAUAUCGAUAGGAACUCCGGUGGCGAAGGCGGCAUACUGGACCACCUCUGACGCUGAGGCGCGAAAGCCAGGGGAGCAAACGGG